CUUAAUUAAGUAGUUUUUCUCUUCAUACAUUAUUGUGUUUAAGAGAGUAUUUGUGUGUGUGUAUAUAUAUAUAUAUCUUAGCUUCAGAAUAGGGGACCAAUAUUUAUUUUCAGACAUCUACGGUAAAUCUUCUUCUUUUUGCCAUAGAAAAUGUUUUUUAGCAUACCAUUUCACGAUUAGUGCAAAGAGCAAGUCUAAAUAAAGAACUUUGUAUAUUAAAAACAGACCAUGAAUUAUUUUUAGCCACUUUAAAGUGCACUUGUGUUCUAAAUUGAUACACUCUCUGCACUGUUCAUUAUUUUGGAAAAUGAAAACUGUAGCUGCAGAUCUGAAGCAAAAGGUUACCAAAGCAUCUGUCUGUGGGAGGUGAUUGUAGCUUAGGUUCAGUGCUUGUGUGGGAUGUGUGGCUGGUAUGUGCACGUAAUCGGCAUGUUCACUUCCAUCUCCUCUACCUGACAUUAUUACAAAAGACUUUAAUUAACAUGAUGACAAAUCAGUCAAUUUGAAGGCUCCAAUAAAAAUACAGUUGCAACAAAUAAUGUAACGGCAAAAUAAACACACCGCACAAAGAUUAAAGGACCACUAAACUUUUUUUUUUUUUUCUUGAAAUUAAAUAUUAACACUUAGGCACACUUUGACACACUUAGAGUAGCAAUGAAGGGCAAUCACAAUGAACAUUGUAACGUUAGAAAUAUUGUUUGAAUAGAUAAUUUAGUGUUUUCCUUUUUUAUUGAUGAUCAUGGCCAAGCCAGUGCUUCCCCAAAGGGAAGCAUUGGGGUUCUAGAGCUUACUGCGUGGCAUUUGCCAAGCUGCGCCAGUCAGCUUCUCAUAGUGCGGUAUUGGCUCAGUACUCAGAACAAGCAGUGUUUACAAUUGUCAGACUGCAUGGACAGACUCUUAGCAGAACCUCUACAUUUAAGCCAUAGUGGCUCUGAUGCUUAGUGUGUCCCUAUAAGAUACUUGCCAUACAUCCUGAAUCAAAGAGCUUUAAUAUUUAAUGUUUUGUUUUUGCAGAAGGCAGGCUUUGUCAGUUGCUGAUAGAUACUAUAUGCUGCCUGCAAUGAGACUUGUUUCUACAUAGAAUCGAUACAGGGAACCAUAAGAAGGUCCCAUCUAUUGAAUGAAAUAGGAAACCAGGCUCAGGAGUAACAGUGAAAGGAAAGGACUCCCCAAAAUUUCAGUGUUUUCUGGCCGAAAGGGAAAAGUUAAAAAAAAAAUGUUUUUUUUUUUUAAAUCUGCUGUUUCAUGAUUCAUGGUCAAUGUUUUAUAAUGGAAACCUAGUCAUUUCUGACCACCAUUAUCAAGCUUGUUUAGUCUUUUUAGGACAGUACAAUAUUUUAAGUAGAUGUAUACUGUUAAAAAAAUAAAAUAAAAGUGUGCUGGAUGCUAAAUUUCACAUUGACUGUUGUCUGGAAUAGGUGGUGGCUAUUGCGGUACUUGUUUGAUUAAAUCACAAAUCCUGAUUUACCAGCAUAGUUAACAGUAGCUGCUUGUUCCAAAAAUUAACAGUGGUCAUUGCUUUUACAGAAUUACUGCUCAAAAUAGGCAAAGGGCUGUUUGGAAACUUAUGUUAUGAAAUAUAUAAACAACACAUGUAUUCAGUAUAUCAGGAACUGUAAGGAGAAUUAAUAGGGGAUAUGGCAUUUUUAGACCACACUUGCUGUACAGGAACAAUAGCCGAGUUGCAUUUUCCAAUUUACAUAUGAACUUAAAGGGGAUCCCAUUGUGUGUGUGUGUGGUUAAAUUUUGUUUAUUCUAUAUAUCCUGUCCUCUCCUUUUAUGUCUGCUGCCAAUGUUACGGUAGAUGCAACUGAUCUGCCCCAUUGUUGAACAGAAACAUGCACAUCAAAAGCAACUGGAUACCUGUGAGUGGAUUGGAUUUCAGCAUUAGGAUAUUUUUCCUGAGUUAAAAAUAAUUAAAUUGUAUUUAUUUUAUAUAGAGUUUACCUACUUUAGUGACCCUGUUCAGUGUUGGUUAUUUGCCAUUUUAAUGGGGGGGGGGGGACUUGCAGAGAUCUCUCAUCCGAACCCUGACCUCUAGUAGACAUUGGUGGUGAUGUGCGCACUGCCACCUUUUCCAGUUGUUUCUGCAAUGUUUACACUGUGUUGAGUGGACUGACCUAACAUUAGGUGGUCUGUAGCAGAACCUCAUUAUAGUGCCAUCAUCAUGCUGCGUUUAUGUAUCUGUAUUUUUUUUUUUUUCAUAUAAAUGGUUGCCAGUUCUUGCUAAUGUGUGUUUGUGACACCUGUCUGUUCUGUGCGUGGAUAUUGUGUGCUGGCUGUCAGUACUGUUUGGGGAGGUUUUGUGUUCUUGUUGUUUGUAAUGUGUGUGUGGAAGUGUGCUGACUGUUUGUAAUAUGUAUGCUUGCUAGCUGUGGUGUGUGCUGGCUGUCUUUGGGGUGUGUGUUCGUGCUCGCUCGCUCUUCUUUGCCCCUACCCAUGCAGAAAGCUAAGCAGAAAUGGGGCAGAAUGGAACACACACAUUGCACAAAACCAACACACUCCAAAUCUACACAUAUUCUGUGCUAUGGUUCCUGGUGUUCGGCGGGGUUUCGCUGCUUUACAAAUAUACUAUAGCCUUGUGGCUUUGUCUUCUCAUACAGCUGUGUCUUUAUAAUGUUAAUAAAUAUAAUGCCCAUCUGAGUCACUAACUAGAGAUCCUAAUAUUCAUAGCCACCCAAUUGGGCUGUCAGGAAUUGUUAAUAUCAAAAAAUCUUCAUACUGUUAUAGAUUGGUGCUUGGGCAGUUGUGGGGUCUGAACCUGUGUGCCCCCCUUCUCCCACUGUUUGUCCAUUUUAUUUUUCUCCAAUUUGGCUGUUUUGUUGCUUGUAGUUGUGUGGGUUAGGACCUGCGGUGGCCCGGGUGCCAAGUUCAAAUAGUAUAAGGUUUUUUUUUUGUAAACAGCUACACAUAGCAGUGGCGGAUCUAUUACCGGUGCAACGAGUCCUGCAUGCUUUCGUAAACCCAUUAGGUGAACCAUGCAUUUGGCGCAACCCUAUGGGUAUUGCUGAACAGGGGCCCUGUAUUUUCAGCAGCUCUGGGAGGAAGUGAAAGUAGGUCACUUACUCCCAGCUACACUUAGAGUGCUGCACAGGGAGGCACAGACAGCAGGUAGGAGAGAAACGAGAGACUCAACUACAGUUACACAGUCCCUAUCAGCCAGCAGCAGGACCCCAAGUAAGCCACCCUCCUGCACAUAAGGUAUGUUGAACAGGAGGGUGGCUAAAAAUAUAACAAUUAUGACGUGUGUAAAUCUGUGUAUCUGUUUGUGUUGGUGUGUGUAUCUGUUAGUUUGUGCAUCUAUGUAAGUAUAUAUGUGUCAGUGUAUGUGCAUACAUGCAAAUACAUCCUUGAAAUCAAACGCCAAAAUUAUAUACAAACACAAUUUUUCAUUAAAACUCCAAUACUACACUGAAAAGUACACCUGCAUUUAAAAGCCAACACUACCUACACACACUUUCCUGCGUUCAAACGCAAACAUUACAUAGAAGUACACCACUGCAUUCCAAAGGCAACAGUACAUACAAACACACCCCUGUAUAUGGUCGAUCCCCACGCAGCAUAGCAUCGUGGAAGUUGUACGACAGAUGGCAACUACAUUUUAGAAAAUAAAAAAAUUCGAAUAAUAGUAUGCAUGCUUGACCACUUCUUAUGGUGAAUACUGUGUUAUAUGACAAUUUACAAAAAUAAAUAAAAAAUAGUCACCUUGUAUCUUGCAUGACUAAUCAGAUAUGUUAUAUUACUUUGUGCGUGAUACUUGUGUAUACAUAGAAUGUUUCUUUAAAAAUUAAUAUAUAAUUGUAUUUAUGUAUUUUAGCUUCCAGUAAGUCAGAAGUAUCUAUUAAGACAUGUCUUAUGUAAUCAGUCCUUGUUUAAGUUUUUAUCUUUGUUUUGGUGAAGUAU
rnacentral:lncRNA from 1 species